rnacentral:rRNA from 1 species
AUACGUAGGUGACAAGCGUUAUCCGGAUUUACUGGGCGUAAAGGGCGUGUAGGCGGUCUUGCAAGUCAGAAGUGAAAUUCCUGAGCUCAACUCGGGCGCUGCUUCUGAAACUGCAGGACUUGAGUGCUGGAGGGGAUAGCGGAAUUCCUAGUGGAGCGGUAAAAUGCGCAGAUAUUAGGAAGAACACCGGUGGCGAAGGCGGCUAUCAGGACAGAAACGGGAGCGGAGGCGCGAAAGCGGGGGGAGCAAACAGGAUUAAAUGCCCUGGUAGUCCACGCCGUAAACGAUGAAUACUAGGUGUAGGGGGUAUCGACUCCCUCUGUGCCGCAGUUAACACAAUAAGUAUUCCGCCUGGGGAGUACGGCCGCAAGGUUGAAACUCAAAUGAAUUGGCGGGG